ACGGGUGAGUAACACGUAGGAAUCUGCCUUGAAGCGGGGGACACCCCGGGGAAACUCGGGCUAAUACCGCAUAAUAUCGGAAGAUUAAAGUUGCCUUGCAAGAGGUGACACUUCAAGAGGAGCCUGCGUCCGAUUAGCUAGUUGGUUAGGUAAAGACUGACCAAGGCGAUGAUCGGUAACUGGUCUGAGAGGACGACCAGUCACACUGGGACUGAGACACGGCCCAGACUCCUACGGGAGGCAGCAGUGGGGAAUAUUGGACAAUGGGGGCAACCCUGAUCCAGCAAUGCCGCGUGUGUGAAGAAGGCCUUCGGGUUGUAAAGCACUUUAGGAUGGGAAGAAGAAUUGGAUUUUAAGAGAUACCAAUUUUGACGGUACCAUCAGAAUAAGCACCGGCUAACUCUGUGCCAGCAGCCGCGGUAAUACAGAGGGUGCAAGCGUUAAUCGGAAUUACUGGGCGUAAAGGGCGCGUAGGUGGUUGUAUAAGUUGAUUGUGAAAUCCCCGGGCUUAACCUGGGAACUGCAAUUGAGACUGUAUGACUGGAGUACUGUAGAGGGUAGUGGAAUUUCCGGUGUA
rnacentral:rRNA from 1 species